CGGGGUGAGUAAUGUCUGGGAAACUGCCUGAUGGAGGGGGAUAACUGCUGGAAACGGUAGCUAAUACCGCAUAACGUCGCAAGACCAAAGAGGGGGACCUUCGGGCCUCUUGCCAUCGGAUGUGCCCAGAUGGGAUUGGCUAGUAGGUGGGGUAACGGCUCACCUAGGCGACGAUCCCUAGCUGGUCUGAGAGGAUGACCAGCCACACUGGAACUGAGACACGGUCCAG
rnacentral:rRNA from 1 species